CGCGCAGGCGGUCUGCUAAGUUGGAUGUGAAAACUCUGGGCUUAACCCAGAGCCUGCAUCCAAAACUGGCAAACUUGAGUACUGGAGGGGAAAGCGGAAUUCCUGGUGUAGCGGUGAAAUGCGUAGAUAUCAGGAGGAACACCGGUGGCGAAGGCGGCUUUCUGGACAGUAACUGACGCUGAGGCGCGAAAGCUAGGGAGCAAACA
rnacentral:rRNA from 1 species